AGAGUUUGCUUCUGGCUCAGGAUGAACGCUGGCGGCGUGCUUAACACAUGCAAGUCGAACGGGGGCGUGAUGUGCGAGAGGGAUAGUUUACUAGACUUCAAACUUUUCACGCCCUAGUGGCGGACGGGUGAGUAACGCGUGGGUAACCUGCCAUAUACAGGGGGAUAACACUUAGAAAUAGGUGCUAAUACCGCAUAAGCGCACAGGGGCGCAUGCCCCGGUGUGAAAAACUCCGGUGGUAUAUGAUGGACCCGCGUCUGAUUAGCCAGUUGGCAGGGUAACGGCCUACCAAAGCGACGAUCAGUAGCCGGCCUGAGAGGGCGGACGGCCACAUUGGGACUGAGACACGGCCCAAACUCCUACGGGAGGCAGCAGUGGGGGAUAUUGCACAAUGGGCGCAAGCCUGAUGCAGCGACGCCGCGUGAGUGAAGAAGUAUUUCGGUACGUAAAGCUCUAUCAGCAGGGAAGAAUAAUGACGGUACCUGACUAAGAAGCCCCGGCUAACUACGUGCCAGCAGCCGCGGUAAUACGUAGGGGGCAAGCGUUAUCCGGAUUUACUGGGUGUAAAGGGAGCGUAGACGGCUGUGCAAGUCUGAAGUGAAAUGCCGGGGCUCAACCCCGGAACUGCUUUGGAAACUGUACAGCUAGAGUGCAGGAGGGGUGAGCGGAAUUCCUAGUGUAGCGGUGAAAUGCGUAGAUAUUAGGAGGAACACCGGUGGCGAAGGCGGCUCACUGGACUGUAACUGACGUUGAGGCUCGAAAGCGUGGGGAGCAAACAGGAUUAGAUACCCUGGUAGUCCACGCCGUAAACGAUGAUUA
rnacentral:rRNA from 1 species